UAUUAAUAAUAAACCUUCAUAUAAUUAAUAUAUAACUUUAUAAUUCAUUAUAGUCUACUCAAAACUGGUACAGACUAGGGGAAUUUGAUUGUUUAAUUAAAAAAAAAAAGCAUUGUGAUGGUCCCUACGAAUGUUGAUGCAAUGUGAUUUAUGGCCAAUGCUCUACAUGUCAAAGUGAAAAAAUUCAACCAAGCAUGGGUAAACGGUGGGAGUAACUAUGACUCUCUUAAGGUAGCUAGAUGCCUCACCAUCUAAUUAGUGACGUGCAUGAAUGGAUUAACGGUAUUCCCACAAUCCCUAUCUACUAUCUAGAGAAACCACAGCCAAGGGAACUGGCUUGGCAUAAUCAGUGGGGAAAGAAGACCCUAUUGAUCUUGACUCUAGUCCGACUUUGUGAAAUGACUUGAGAGGUGUAGAAUAAAUGGGAGACAUUUUUGGUGCAAGUGAAAUACCACUACUUUUAACGUUAUUUUACUUAUUAUGUGGGGCAGAGACAAGGAAAUGCCACUGCUUUUGGCCAUAAGACACCUUUCAGCAGGUCGAUCUAGGUAGAAGACAUUGUCAGGUGGGAAGUUUGGUUGGGGUGUCACAUUUGUUAAAAGAUAAUGCACAUUUCCUCAAAGUGUUGUCAAUGACGAUGAAUAUAAAGAGCACGACCAUGACAAUGUGUAUGUUAUAAGUUCCAUGCAUGACAUUAAUCAGAGAAAUUUUAAAUGAAACGAGGAAGAGAUUGAAUAUAUAGAGUGGGUGU
rnacentral:ncRNA from 1 species